AGUCCUACGGGGCGCAGCAGUAGGGAAUCUUCUACAAUGGGCGCAAGCCUGAUGGAGCAACGCCGCGUGGGUGAAGAAGGUCUUCGGAUCGUAAAACCCUGUUGUUAGAGAAGAAAGUGCGUGAGAGUAACUGUUCACGUUUCGACGGUAUCUAACCAGAAAGCCACGGCUAACUACGUGCCAGCAGCCGCGGUAAUACGUAGGUGGCAAGCGUUAUCCGGAUUUAUUGGGCGUAAAGGGAACGCAGGCGGUCUUUUAAGUCUGAUGUGAAAGCCUUCGGCUUAAACGGAGUAGUGCAUGGGACA
rnacentral:rRNA from 1 species